ACGGAGGGUGCAAGCGUUAAUCGGAAUUACUGGGCGUAAAGCGCACGUAGGCGGAUUGUUAAGUCGGGGGUGAAAUCCUGGAGCUCAACUCCAGAACUGCCUUCGAAACUGGCGAUCUUGAGUCCGGGAGAGGUGAGUGGAACUGCGAGUGUAGAGGUGAAAUUCGUAGAUAUUCGCAAGAACACCAGUGGCGAAGGCGGCUCACUGGCCCGGUACUGACGCUGAGGUGCGAAAGCGUGGGGAGCAAACAGGA
rnacentral:rRNA from 1 species